GAUGAAGAACGUAGCGAAAUGCGAUAAGUAAUGUGAAUUGCAGAAUUCAGUGAAUCAUCGAAUCUUUGAACGCACCUUGCGCCCUUUGGCUAUUCCGAAGGGCAUGCCUGUUUGAGUAUCAUGAACACCUCAACUCUUCACGGCUUGCCGUGAUGAGUUUGGACUUUGGGGGUCUUGCUGGCCUACGAGCCAGCUCCUCUCAAAUGUAUUAGCUUGCCGGUGUUUGGUGGCAUCACAGGUGUGAUAACUAUCUACGCUUGUGGUUUUCCAUCAAGUCACCUUCAGCGAUGGAGGUUCGCUGGGGCUCAUAAAGAAGGCCUCUCCUCGGUGAGGAUGGCUCCUUUGAACGUUUGAUCUCAAAUCAGGUAGGACUACCCGCUGAACUUAAGCAUAUCAAUAAGCGGAGGA
rnacentral:misc_RNA from 1 species